rnacentral:lncRNA from 1 species
UCCCUAAAUCCUGAUUACGAUCCCGAUGAUUCACCCUCCCUUUCUGAGCCCAUUGCCCUCAUCCAUUGAUUCCGUCCGUCCAUGUUCCUUCAUUGACGGGUAAUGAUUUGAUUUGUUUACGUUCCUCCUUCCUCGAUUUCAAAUUUUCAUAGUUUCAAUUUCUUAAUAAAUCUGGUAAUUAGAAUCACAUUUUGUAUGCGUGUGUGUGUGACAUGUGUGUUAUGCUUAGGGUCGACCUUAGCUAUUCAGUUCCAUUUUUUAUUUUUUACCCAAAUUUCCGAAAAGGUUGGGUGCAUUUAUUUGAUUGAGUUGUUAUAAAUUCUGAAAAUUGCAUUAAAUUCUAGACCUAAAUAUUCAGAUUUGAAGUUCUGGUUGAUGUUUUGUAGUUAGUUAUAUACACAGAUUUGAAUUUCCUUAAAUUUACAAGGUUAUAACUAAAUAAGUAAUUAAGAAGACAGAGUUGAAUUGAUGUCGGUGGUGUUCUGCGAUUCUAAUUGGUCGGAGCUGACAAAAGUGCCAUGAAAACCAUACGGAACUCUCGACGGCAAUUGGACAGAGGCUUCCAACUCCAUACUCGCUGCAUUGACAAUCAGAAGCUUCGACUCUGACUUGUUCUCGUCAGUUACCAAGGCCAUCAGAUGACCAUCGUCUUCUUGGUUAGACGACGAUGGCGUCGCCGGAAGAAAGAAAGGUUCGCCUCCGUACUUUCCAUCUCCGUACAUAAAUUUUACAACUUCUCCGGUAAGAAGAUCGACUUUGGCAAACCCUGAGACCCGUGGCCAUGGUUCGGCUAUUGCUAAGUAAGCGAACCGGGUUUUCCUUCCCAACCGAUCCCGGUUCACCAUUCCUACCUCAAGGUUGAGUUGCUUGUGCUGUUCCUUGAUGAUUGGAUUUCUGGUUGAUCGGCCGGUCGAUGGAUCAAGUCGGAUCUCCGACAGCACACUGGCGAGUCUCUCGUCGGUUUCGUUAAAGAUGGAAUCUGGAGGAGUCAUGCACGAAGCAAUGACCACUAUUUCUCCCGUUUCAUUAUCUUCCCAUGCGUUCCAGAAAUGGAAGCAGAAGCAAUCAGGGACGUCCACCCACGUCAUCUCCGAUGCGUCGGUGGCGUACUUGGGCAGAAUCCCGAACCUGGAUAUUUUCCCCUUAUCAUGGACCACCGGCGAUCGACCGUGGAUCAUCUCCUCUAGCUUGAACACCAUCUGUUGAUCCGGAACCACUGCGAAGUUCUCCGUGAUCGCGAAAUCGUGCAUCAUCGUGGGGUCUUUGAUCGGAAUGACCACGUCGGGGGAUUUUUUUCCUUGGGCCGUGAACCAGAAGUAUCUGAGGUAGGGUUUGUUGAUGACGUCGUAGCUGAGUGCAAAGAGUUGGCGUGUAACAGGGUCCAGUUUUGGGUGUGCGAUCAUGGUGGAUUGAAGCUGCCCAUUGAAGUCGUACCUCCCCGUUGUUUUGAGAUUCCCGUCUGGCGUGAUCGUAACGUGGUAAGGAAGAUCGUCUUCCGACAUUGCAAGAAGGCAGUUAUUGAAGUAGAUGAGACCGGCGUUCGCCGCUCCAAUUCCGUUGGCGCCGUCGACCAAUCCGAAUAAGCCACGAGCAUAGAAAAGUAGUAACCUGGCGAUGCCGGAGUGACCAUGUAGCUCGCCAAUGGGUUUGGGGAACAUAGGCCUUCCGAUGGCUCUUUCCUGCACAAGCCGCUCCGUCUCCGUGAAACGGCAGGUGUAACUGACAGCGCCAUUCUUAAAACAGACUGCGUGGAUCAUCCCAUCUCCAUCAAACAAAUGAUGUCCGGCAACCGGUUGGAACAACGGGUUGGCGCCGUUUCUGACGUAAACGCCUUGAAUCGCAUCGGGUAUAAAACCUGAGACGGGGAGAUUGUAAUGCACAGUCGUUUGCUCUUGGACUGGAGCAUAAUUACCCGCGAUCUGCACCUUGGGAUCGACGGUCUUUGGUAAAGGACGGUGUGUUUCGAGAAAGUUAGCUAUGAAGGUGUGUUCGAUCUUAUUGAGCGCCUCCGACGCAACUCUUUGUACAAGGUUGAAUUUCUUCAUCCCUCCGCCGUUUUGACGACGACGAAGACGAUGAUCCUGCUGAAUCUCAUCGACGUCGACAUUAGUGGUGGGAUUCGUGGGUGGGUAAGUGGAGAUGCAGGUGAUCUUCUUAUUGAUUCGUGGAUUGAAUGAAGUGAAAGUGGUUCCUAGUAAUAACGACCGCGCCAUGGACGUCGAUUGUAGCUAGCUACUCAAAGGAUCGAUCUUUAUACAGUAGAGAUCGAGAGGAAGAUGGAAGCGAAAAGAGAGUGAAGAAAAUUUGAACGAUGCAUGAAGGUUAUUUAUAGCUAAGAUCCAUCUGACCAUCCAUCCAUCAUACAUCGAAUCAUGGACGGUGGAAAGCUGCCAGUUGCCUGCCCCGUGGACGUGGAUGGAGUAGUAUUAUAUUUUAAGUUUUUAAGUAAGUUUUAAACGGGGGCGGCCGAUUGUUUGAUUCUACGUGGUCGGUGAUGGACAGCUGAUUAAUUAAUCUUUUACUCUUUUAUUUAAUUACGAUAUUGAAUUUAGCCAUUUAGGAAGUAGUAAGAAUCAAGGAAUGUUCUCUAUUUGCUCCGGUCCAGUCCAGUCCAGUCCAGCCCACCAUGUAAUUAUUUGUUAUAACAAUCACUUAUUUGUUAUAUCAGUUUCACAUGAAAAUCGUGAGAAUUAUAUUUAAUUUUCGUUCAAUGGUGAAUUGAAAAAAUUAUUUAUUUUAUCUAUUUAACAUUUUUUUUUUUUUUUUUUGAAGCAAUUUAACAUUUUUCAUUUGCGGCUCAGAUGAUGGUUUUGACAAAUACUUAGACUUUAGAUUGUUCAAUUUCAUUUUGUCCAUGUUAAAGAUGGAAUUACAUGCACGUAAUUAAAUGAUUGAUCCAUUUUUGAUUGUGUAUUAAUUAAAUUAUGAAUAUAGCUUCAUGUACGAGCAACUGUGUCCACAUAGUUAUUAAGAAAUCAAUUUUAAAAAGACGUGUAAAAGUAAGAAGGGGACGUUAGAUUUUGCAAAAUAAAAAGAAUUCGAAAAAAAAUAUUGUGUUUAAACAAUGAAAAUAUGUUUUUCUUAUGUUUAUUUUUAUGUUCUGUCUUUUUUUUCUUUUUUGAAUUCCUGUCGGUUUUUGAUUAUGCAGGACAAGGGAUAGAAGUCGAGACAUAAACUUUUGUGUUCUUAAUAAAAAAAGAUAACAAAGAAUGGAAAUAGGAUGAUAGCAGAACAGCUAUGUUUAUUCACAAACACGUUAAUUUAGAUUGAUUAUUUGCUGUUUAGGUAUCUCAGUAUUUAAUUAUUUUUUAUUCUUAACUAUUUAACUGUUUAGUAAACUUUUAUUUUCAAUUAAUACAACGUAUCUUAAC